GCGAGUCGACGAAGUAGCAAUACUUAGUGGCAGACGGGUGAGUAACAUGUGGGUAUCUACCCUUUGGCCUGGAAUAACACGAGGAAACUUGUGCUAAUACCGGAUAAGUCUUUACGGAGAAAGCUUUAUGCACCAUUGGAUGAGCCCGCACUUGAUUAGUUUGUUGGUAGGGUAAUGGCCUACCAAGACUAUGAUCAAUAGCUGAUUUGAGAGGAUGAUCAGCCACAUUGGGACUGAGACACGGCCCAAACUCCUACGGGAGGCAGCAGUGGGGAAUCUUGCACAAUGGAGGAAACUCUGAUGCAGCGAUGCCGCGUGAGUGAAGAAGGCCUUUGGGUUGUAAAGCUCUUUCGUCGGGGAAGAAAAUGACUGUACCCGAAUAAGAAGGUCCGGCUAACUUCGUGCCAGCCGCCCGGGGUAAUACA
rnacentral:rRNA from 1 species